rnacentral:rRNA from 1 species
ACACUCCUGCGGGAGGCAGCAGUGGGGAAUAUUGGACAAUGGGCGCAAGCCUGAUCCAGCCAUGCCGCGUGAGUGAUGAAGGCCCUAGGGUUGUAAAGCUCUUUUGUGCGGGAAGAUAAUGACGGUACCGCAAGAAUAAGCCCCGGCUAACUUCGUGCCAGCAGCCGCGGUAAUACGAAGGGGGCUAGCGUUGCUCGGAAUCACUGGGCGUAAAGGGUGCGUAGGCGGGUCUUUAAGUCAGGGGUGAAAUCCUGGAGCUCAACUCCAGAACUGCCUUUGAUACUGAAGAUCUUGAGUUCGGGAGAGGUGAGUGGAACUGCGAGUGUAGAGGUGAAAUUCGUAGAUAUUCGCAAGAACACCAGUGGCGAAGGCGGCUCACUGGCCCGAUACUGACGCUGAGGCACGAAAGCGUGGGGAGCAAACAGGAUUAGAUACCCGAGUAGUCCCAUGA